rnacentral:rRNA from 1 species
CCCUUAGAUGUCCUGGGCCGCACGCGCGCUACACUGACAUGUUCAACAAGUUUCUCCUAGUUCGACAGGACUGGGAAAUCUUUGAACGCAUGUCGUGAUAGGGAUAGAUCAUUGCAAUUAUUGAUCUUGAACGAGGAAUUCCUAGUAAACGCGAGUCAUCAGCUCGCAUUGAUUACGUCCCUGCCCUUUGUACACACCGCCCGUCGCUCCUACCGAUUGAGCAUCCCGGUGAAGACUCAGGAGAUAUGUACGUGGCUGGUCUCCAGCUGCGUUGCGUGCCGAAUUUGUCUAAACCUUGAUGCUUAGAGGAAGGAGAAGUCGUAACA